UACUUUUUUUUAAUAAUUGAAAAAUCUAUGCUUGCACCCCACUCCUUGAAGUUACUUGUAACGUGUCUUUUCUUUUUAAAUGAAAGCAACACAUUUUGCAUUAUUCAAUAUAAACUGCAUCAUAGGCGUGACAUCCACAUUGAUAUUUGAAGUGACAGAUGGAAAACCUUCGCAAAAACAAAGAAAAUCCUUUGGAAACCCGCUCACAACUUUUGCGCGUCUGCAAGCCAACGUAAUAUAGGCGGUCGGCUAAUUAUUACACAAAGACGCCAAAUUAGUCAAGCCUGGGGAUGAUGACAGGAAAACGUCCAGCCUGGGCACGGCGUUUAUUAACGGAAAAAAAUAUCAAGAAAAAAAUAUUAACAUUGAACGGUGCCCAAAGCCCUAGCCCUAACCCUAACAGAUCAGCUUUAUAAACCCUUUAGUUCGAUGUAAUGGUACAUUGUGGAGGUAGGGAAUUCUGGCUGUUUGUUGAAGGAGUGUUUUUGUCCUCAAUAUGCAUUGGUUCCUCUGUUAUGGAAAUACUGAAGGGCAAUGACGAGGUCGCGUAGGACGCCUUGGCCAUGGAUCUCGAUUGAUUUAAACCAAAUUUCUUCUAAAAUUAAUAGUUUUGCCUCCUGCAAGCAAAGGUACUUUCUUUUGAGCCGAUUGUUCUCGUAUGAUCCUAUUAUGCGGUUUACACGACACAGAGGAAUGUUUUCUAUGAGGUGCAUUCUUUGAAGGUAGCAAGUUACUGUGCUAAGGCAGUCGGAGUGGGUGGUGGGGGCAAAGGAUCUCACCAUGAGAGGGCUUUUCCCUGUACCACCCAUUCCUCUUGCCUUUCGCACACAUCAUAAUUAAGGAGCAUCUCACCUGAUCUUGGAAAUGGAGGGAGUACUGUUUUUUAUUAUUGUAAGUAAUAUAUAAAUCCCACACUGGGGAGAGGCUAAGUAGAUUUUUAAGCAGGUUUUUCCUUAUUUGUUGCUAUGUACGAUAAAUUUUAAUGUAUUGGAACAUUCUUUGUGUAAGUAUGAAUAACAAUGUAUUAGUAUUUCAACAAACUCAGGUCUUAAAAUAUGGCAAAAUACUGUUAGUCAGUGACCGCUAACAGUGACGCGUAAUUUAAGGCAAUUAUUGACCCAUUGGUACUGAAGGAUACUUGUUUUAAGCUCAAGAAAUGUAUGCAUUGAUAGGGGGAUGACGAAGAUUGAGAAGUUUGAAAUAUAAAGUUGUGAUUUGUAGAAAUGCUGGAAUAAAUGGAAGAAAUUUGCCGUA